GGCAGUGGGGCUGCUAUAUUGCAGUCGAGCGGACAGAUGGGAGCUUGCUCCCUGAUGUUAGCGGCGGACGGGUGAGUAACACGUGGGUAACCUGCCUGUAAGACUGGGAUAACUCCGGGAAACCGGGGCUAAUACCGGAUGGUUGUUUGAACCGCAUGGUUCAGACAUAAAAGGUGGCUUCGGCUACCACUUACAGAUGGACCCGCGGCGCAUUAGCUAGUUGGUGAGGUAACGGCUCACCAAGGCGACGAUGCGUAGCCGACCUGAGAGGGUGAUCGGCCACACUGGGACUGAGACACGGCCCAGACUCCUACGGGAGGCAGCAGUAGGGAAUCUUCCGCAAUGGACGAAAGUCUGACGGAGCAACGCCGCGUGAGUGAUGAAGGUUUUCGGAUCGUAAAGCUCUGUUGUUAGGGAAGAACAAGUGCCGUUCAAAUAGGGCGGCACCUUGACGGUACCUAACCAGAAAGCCACGGCUAACUACGUGCCAGCAGCCGCGGUAAUACGUAGGUGGCAAGCGUUGUCCGGAAUUAUUGGGCGUAAAGGGCUCGCAGGCGGUUUCUUAAGUCUGAUGUGAAAGCCCCCGGYUCAACCGGGGAGGGUCAUUGGAAACUGGGGAACUUGAGUGCAGAAGAGGAGAGUGGAAUUCCACGUGUAGCGGUGAAAUGCGUAGAGAUGUGGAGGAACACCAGUGGCGAAGGCGACUCUCUGGUCUGUAACUGACGCUGAGGAGCGAAAGCGUGGGGAGCGAACAGGAUUAGAUACCCUGGUAGUCCACGCCGUAAACGAUGAGUGCUAAGUGUUAGGGGGUUUCCGCCCCUUAGUGCUGCAGCUAACGCAUUAAGCACUCCGCCUGGGGGAGUACGGUCGCAAGACUGAAACUCAAAGGAAUUGACGGGGGCCCGCACAAGCGGUGAGCAUGUGGUUUUAAUUCGAAGCAACGCGAAGACCCUUACCAGGUCUUGACAUCCUCUGACAUCCUAGAGAUAGGACGUCCCCUUUCGGGGGCAGAGUGACAGGUGGUGCAUGGCUUGUCGUCAGCUCGUGUCGUGAGAUGUUGGGUUAAGUCCCGCAACGAGCGCAACC
rnacentral:rRNA from 1 species